ACAUACCAAUUGUUGCCUCGGCGGAUCAGCCCGCUCCCGGUAAAACGGGACGGCCCGCCAGAGGACCCCUAAACUCUGUUUCUAUAUGUAACUUCUGAGUAAAACCAUAAAUAAAUCAAAACUUUCAACAACGGAUCUCUUGGUUCUGGCAUCGAUGAAGAACGCAGCAAAAUGCGAUAAGUAAUGUGAAUUGCAGAAUUCAGUGAAUCAUCGAAUCUUUGAACGCACAUUGCGCCCGCCAGUAUUCUGGCGGGCAUGCCUGUUCGAGCGUCAUUUCAACCCUCAAGCCCAGCUUGGUGUUGGGACUCGCGAGUCAAAUCGCGUUCCCCAAAUUGAUUGGCGGUCACGUCGAGCUUCCAUAGCGUAGUAGUAAAACCCUCGUUACUGGUAAUCGUCGCGGCCACGCCGUUAAACCCCAACUUCUGAAUGUUGACCUCGGAUCAGGUAGGAAUACCCGCUGAACUUAAGCAUAUCAUAACCGGGAAGGAAAGAAUCAUUACCGAGUUUACAA
rnacentral:rRNA from 1 species